rnacentral:rRNA from 1 species
AGGGUUUGAUCCUGGCUCAGGAUUAAUGCUGGCGGUAUGCCUAAUACAUGCAAGUCGAACGAAAUAGUUUACUAUUUAGUGGCGAACGGGUGAGUAACACGUAUUCAACUUACCUUAAGGUUGGGGAUAGCCAUCGGAAACGAUGAUUAAUACCCGAUAUGUUAUUUUGACAAAUGUCGAAAUAAUGAAAGAAGCUUUCAAGCUUCACCUUUUGAUAGGAAUGCGGUGCAUUAGAUUGUUGGUAAGGUAAAGGCUUACCAAGUCGAUGAUGCAUAGCCAGACUGAGAGGUUGAUUGGCCACACUGGGAUUGAGAUACGGCCCAGACUCCUACGGGAGGCAGCAGUAGGGAAUUUUUCACAAUGGGCGCAAGCCUGAUGGAGCAAUACCGCGUGACUGAAGAAGGUCUUCGGAUCGUAAAAGUCUGUGGCGAGGGAAGAAUGUUCAUCUAAGGAAAUGUAGAUGAAAAUGACGGUACCUGGCUAGAAAGCCAUGACUAAUUACGUGCCAGCAGUCGCGGUAAUACGUAAGUGGCAAGCAUUAUCCGGAUUAAUUGGGCGUAUAGUAUGCGUAGACGGUGGAGAAAGUUAAAGGUUCAAGAAUGAGGCUCAACCUCAUAAUGCUUUUAAUACUUCUUUACUAGAGGUUGGGAGACGUUAGUAGAAUUUCAUGUGUAGCGGUGGAAUGCGUGGAGAUAUGAAAGAAUACCAAGAGCGAAGGCAACUAACGUGCCCAAAUCUGACGUUGAGGCAUGAGAGCACGGGGAGCGAAUCGGAUUAGAUACCCGAGUAGUCCGUUGCUGUAAACGAUGAGUACUAGAUGUUACACAAUGUAGUGUCGUAGUUAACACGUUAAGUACUCCGCCUGGGGAUUACGAA